rnacentral:rRNA from 1 species
UACGUAGGGGGCUAGCGUUGUCCGGAAUCAUUGGGCGUAAAGAGCGCGUAGGCGGCUAGAUAAGUCCGGUGUGAAAGUCACAGGCUCAACCUGUGAAUGCCGCUGGAAACUGUCUGGCUAGAGUCCGGAAGGGGCGAGUGGAAUUCCUGGUGUAGCGGUGAAAUGCGCAGAUAUUCGCAAGAACACCAGUGGCGAAGGCGGCUCACUGGCCCGGUACUGACGCUGAGGCACGAAAGCGUGGGGAGCAAACAGG